UACGUCGGGGGCUAGCGUUGUCCGGAAUCAUUGGGCGUAAAGAGCGUGUAGGCGGCCCGGUAAGUCCGCUGUGAAAGUCGGGGGCUCAACCUCGAGACGCCGAUGGAAACCAUGUGGCUAGAGUCCGGAAGAGGAGAGUGGAAUUCCUGGUGUAGCGGUGAAAUGCGCAGAUAUCAGGAAGAACACCCGUGGCGAAGGCGGCUCUCUGGGACGGUACUGACGCUGAGACGCGAAAGCGUGGGGAGCGAACAGG
rnacentral:rRNA from 1 species